UGGCCUGAGCUGAAGCUGGAUGCUUAACUGAGUCAGGCAGGCGCCCCUUAACUGGAGAAUAUUUAAAGUUUUGUUGUUUUUUCCCCCCAACUAAAGGAUCUAUGAUAUUUUAUCCAGGAGUGCUCAAACUUUGUAGUGCAUUAAGAUCUUAAUCUUAUUUUGGAAUCUUGAAAGAAAACAAAGGAAGCCAUUAUCUCUUAAUGAACAGUGAGUGUUUAUUUUCCUUUUCUUUAUCUCUGUAUCUCUGUUUUUACACAUUGGUUCUAUCUUCUGAAGUCAAAGUCACUUCUGUUUGCCAAGCUUAGCUAACACAAUGAGAAAGAGCUUGCUUACUAGUACACAGAAUCAUUUUUGUAACUUCAGAGGUGGGAAAGUGUUAAGUCGCGUUACAAAGCAUAUAUGAAGUUUAUAUACUCGGUGCCAACAAGGUAGGAGUUACUUCUGGGUGUAGGGACACACAGAAGGCAUGAGGAAGGGAAUUGGGGUGGGGUGGGCAGGGGUAGCAGAGAGAAAGGUUGGUGUAUUAACUCCGUUUUCCCACCUUGAUAAGGAAUCAUAUGUGCACUUUUUGUUUCUGACAGAGCCAAGAAGGAAAUGCAGUUUCAGCAGGUAUCCUACCUGGGUUUUCGUGAAGCCUCUAGUGAGUCUGAUCUUGAAGCUCGUGGGCGUGUGGAUCGGUGGUGGAAGGGGAGGGGUGUGGGGAGCUGUCAUGGAUCUGACCUCUGCCCCACACGUGCUCCCACUACGGCUGGGAACAGCUAGAGGCACGUCACUGAUUCCACCGCCCGGGUGGCGAUGAUUUCUUGCAAAGCUACUGCGAAAAUACUUAACCUCUGGCUUAGUGGCAAAGGACUGGCCUUUUGAUAUUGUUCUGAAGUUCAUUUCAGAGGAGGCCCUUCCCUGUGACGUCAUAGUUAAAGGUCCUCCCGACAGCUGGUAGGUAGUAUUGGGCCUCCUUAAUUAUCUCUGCUAGUUAUGAACUUCCUCCUUAUUUGGUUGGAGCCUCUACUGACUCUUUCCAUUUCAAGCUAACCUAGAUAGUGCGACAAUGUAGUCAACUCUUUCUAAAUAUAGCUAUCCCUGCUGGGUGGAAUCCAUUCAAGUGGUCAGAUUUCUAAAGGCACUUUGUGUUCUGGAAGCCAGGGUUAGUGGGGCGGGGGUGGGGGGUGGGAUUGUGUCACUUAGAGAUCUGUUUGUAUCCAUGUGCCAACAAUUUAAUGAAACAGAUUAUUAUUCAAAUUUCAUUGGCCUUAUCGAACUAAAUGUUAAAGAAUCUUUCCUGUGCUGAGUAUAUGAAUAUAUAGUCAGCAUUGCUUUCUAUCUGUUUUCCUAGCUUGUAAGUGGCUGUCCAUAGCAGAAAGACAAAUCCCAUGUUUGUCAUCUUUAUGAAUUAAUUGUUUGGGGGAGAAUGAUUGGACUCAGAAAGGUAAGUUAGUUAAGAGGGGAAGUUAGUAUUAGUCAUGAGAAAACACUGUGGGAUUAAGUCAAACCCAUACCCAGCCUACAUUGUUAUUGCCAAUAGUUUCCUCCAAAUCCAAUAAGUAAAAUCACUUAAAAAUCAAAAUCCCUAUUUUUUUAUGGAAAAGAACAACCAGUAAAAUGAAUUAAGGACUAAGUAUGAUAGAUAACAUCAUUUACAAACAAGACAUUAUGAGAGAUUUAGUCAUUUAGUGAAUGCAGAACAUUAACAUUGACUUUUAUUUAAAACAUCCCCACUGUCUAGAAACAUUAUGCUGUCUGAAAUGAAGAAAAAUGCAAUGAAGAGACCCCUGAUGUAAUGAGUUUUAAGAAUUACAGAGACAAAGAUGCAUAUCAGGAAGAUGAUAGAUAUGGAUGGGAUAAUAUCACCACACAGUUGCAGGCAUCAUUUUAUAGUACAGACAAUUGACGUAUUUUCGGGAGAAAAGAAUGAACGUGGCAUACGGCAUACCAAAAAUGAUCACUGAGGAGGUGAAGGCCACUACCAGGUCAGAAAAACAGGCCUCAGUUUUGAUCUGUUUGCGAUUAAUUAAUUAGUACGAGCUUAUGGAGAUGACGCAGACAGUCUGAGGGUAAGUGACAUGCAUGGCAGGGGACAUGUAAGUCCCUGGUGACAAAACUGAGCCAGGAGCUCCCCCUGCCCCCCAUGCUGGUUUAGUGUUUCUUUGUGCUACCUUCCUUUGCCCCCUGGAGCUGCUGGUGACAGACUGUUCUCAGUGAUAUGUCCCCAUCUGGGUGGGAAUCAUCUCUGCUCAGGUCACUAUGGGACACCCAGGGUAACCCCCGGGCGCUACCCCUGUUUCGUGUAGUCCAGAUCAGGCUCCUCCAGCCUGCCUGAGCCCUGGCAUUCUUCUUCCGUCCUGAGGUGCACCUGAGGCAGCCCUCUG